GAGUUUGAUCAUGGCUCAGGAUGAACGCUGGCGGUAUGCUUAACACAUGCAAGUCGAACGGACUCUUUCGGGAGUUAGUGGCGGACGGGUGAGUAACGCGUGAGAAUCUGGCUUUUGGUCUGGGACAACCACUGGAAACGGUGGCUAAUACCGGAUGUGCCCUUAUGGGUGAAAGGUUAACUGCCGGAAGAUGAGCUCGCGUCUGAUUAGCUAGUUGGUGGUGUAAGGGACUACCAAGGCGACGAUCAGUAGCUGGUCUGAGAGGAUGAUCAGCCACACUGGGACUGAGACACGGCCCAGACUCCUACGGGAGGCAGCAGUGGGGAAUUGUUCGCAAUGGGCGCAAGCCUGACGACGCAACGCCGCGUGGAGGAUGAAGAUUUUCGGAUCGUAAACUCCUGUCGAUCGGGACGAACAUCUUCCGGGAUAACACCCUGGAGGACUGACGGUACCGGUUGAGGAAGCCCCGGCUAACUCUGUGCCAGCAGCCGCAGU
rnacentral:rRNA from 1 species